GACGGAGGAUGCAAGCGUUAUCCGGAAUGAUUGGGCGUAAAGCGUCCGCAGGUGGCAGUUCAAGUCUGCUGUCAAAGACCGGGGCUUAACUUCGGAAAGGCAGUGGAAACUGAACAGCUAGAGUAUGGUAGGGGCAGAGGGAAUUCCUGGUGUAGCGGUGAAAUGCGUAGAGAUCAGGAAGAACAUCGGUGGCGAAGGCGCUCUGGACCACAACUGACGCUGAGGCGCGAAAGCGUGGGGAGCAAACGGG
rnacentral:rRNA from 1 species